rnacentral:rRNA from 1 species
GACAUAGGUCGCAAACGUUAUCCGGAAUUAUUGGGCGUAAAGGAUGCGUAGAUGGUUCAAUAAGUUACUGGUGGGAAAUCGAGGCUCAACCUCGUGGAAGUCAGUAAUACUGUUGAACUUGAGUGCAGGAGAGGUUAACGGAACUUUAUGUGGAGCGGUAAAAUGCGUAGAUAUAUGAAAGAACAUCAAUAUGGCGAAGGCAGUUAACUAUUCUGUUACUGACGUUUGAGGCAUGAAAGCGUGGGGGAGCAAAAACGG